rnacentral:lncRNA from 1 species
CUGGGGAGGAGGCGCGAUGUCGUUUUGUCUCCAAAUGCGGUUUUUCGUUUUGCACAGCGUCGACAGAGAGAACGGGACUGCUGAUGUUUUGUGAAAUCUCUUCAGGGGUGAAAGGGGAGGCACUUAAACUUCCAAGUCGAAGCACGGCCUUCGAGUCUAAACAUCAACAAAGCGCUUCACCAGUGUUGGUCUCCUCUCUGCUUUCCGGCCAUGCACGCGCGAGUGUUCGUGUGCCGAUUUAAUUCCACUGCCUGUAGAGGCCUACGUCUACGGACAAGUUGUCCACUUCGUUCUUCGGAAACUGAAUCAAAAGAUCGCUUUACUUGUGCUUCCAGCGCAGGGACGCUCUUCUGUCAGGGGCGGGCAGUCGACGGCGGGAUCUAUGAAUGCUUCUGCAUGCUGACAGGAAAAGUCAAAAACCAGCGAAAAGCCAAUGCGAGCUCGCCUUUGUCCGACAUGCGCGGAAGAGCUUUCUUUUGCCAGUGCUACGCAGCGUAAACCGAGUGCCCGAGGUUUCUUAAAUCUACCUGUCCUCCUCAAUUUUUCUACGAUUCCGGGUGCAUGCAAGCCGCAAAUUUCUCCAGUAAUCAACGAAACAAGAAUACGCGCCACAUGCCUGAACAAGUCAAGUCCACCCCCCUCCCCCAGCGCGACACUACGGUCACCACGCGCAAACACCAAAAUCUCUCUCCAGCCUCGUCUCUCUCUGUCGAUAUACAGGCGAACAUGCAUGCGCACACACGCUCGAGUCGCCUCCAAACAAAGUCCACUCAGACCACGCCGUGACCUGGCAGUGGCAGCCUGAGAGAAAGGCAAAGAAGAAAAGCAUCGCAGAAAAUCGGGGAACGGUUGAGUUCCACGAAUUCGCGGAAAGGAGAGGACUCGGACGACUUCGAGAGAGAUCAAGUGCAUGCAACUCCUUGCGCUGCGUUCUCAGAGGAUGGAGGCCGUCGAACGCCAGGGAAGCCGGUUUUUCUAUCUCGCACCUUCCUUGGAGGAACCGACAAAAAGAGGCAUCUGCAGUCUGAAGGUUUCCUUGUCUUGUCUAUGCAGAGCAACCGAUCAGGCUCAAUCAAAAUACAUGUGUCUGUAUGUACAGAUAGACGAGUGAAUACUCACAAACUCAUGUUUAACCGAUUCCUGGUCAGUGCUUGCCUCUUCGUAAACACAGCCUCUUAUGCUCACACGGAGAAUGAAUCCCCGAGUUUGAAAAGAUGUAUCUGUGCGUGUAUUUAGACACAUGGGUGCCUCACUUUCUAGACAUGCAGGAACUUCGAACUGAAGAAGGUGCACAGCUCAGACUUUUGAUCGUUGCUGUUUAGUUGCGCGUGCAUGCAAUGCGCCUUCUGCGAAGGCUUCGAAGAGGGAAUUUCCGCAAAGCCCAGCUGAUCGCUCGCGGUUGGGUUUGUGUGUGUUGAGAGCAGGAGAAGGGAGAACAAGCAUUGAAAGAGAAAUCGAAUUUCCUUCUGAAUUGCUGCUCACCGUGAGGCGCAAGCCCUGCAAACAAAGAGCAUGUUGUCCUGCCUUCGGCGAUGUCUUCAAGAUCUGGAAAUGAAAAACACAGUUCAACGCGCAACGGAAAUUGCUUCAUACAACUUCGUUUGACCGGAUGUGUGACAGAUUCGGCGUUCCCGCGGAACAUGAGCAGACGAAGUGGCGAUGAUGAUCAGUACCACCGUGCUGGAAGCAAUCGCAUCUGAGACAAGAGUGUUGAAUGCUUUUUCUGGGGAGUUUUUCCUCUGGGUUAGACGCCGGCUCAAAUCUCCAAGGUCUUUGUUCACCAGAUCCAAGUUGCAUUGUUCUUCUCAUGGCCAUUACAUUCAGCAAACUGAGCACAGUUGAAUCUCGUGUGAACGCUGGUGCAGACAUGGGAACAUCUGCGCUUCCGUGCUCGGUCGUAAGUUCAUAGUAAAGAGCGUGUAGUGUGUACUCCAAGCUUAGCGCAGCUUGCGCUUUGGUUUGCUAAGUGUUUAAAACCUUUUCGUUGUUCGUGGCAGUUGUGCAGUAACAGGAUAGUCGCUUUUUACGCUUGAGCACCCAUUUCAGCUUAUAUUUUACAAGCGUCCCUCCGUUUCUUGGCAAGUCCUGUGAGGCCCCUUGGAGGUGAAAGACGUCUCUCUAUACACAGUGCUGAAGAACAACCAACGCAUACUGCUACAUGUCGGCGACUUGUCGCGUUUUUCUCUCCAUUUUCGACGUCCCAUCGAUACACGAGACUCGUUUAAAGAGGAGAGGGACCUGUAAAAUGUAAACCUCUUUUGGAGGUGGCAACGCCAUCGAGAAAGGUCCGCCAGCCCAGGGGAAGCUCUGAUUCCUGUUGUCUCCCCCCAAAACAACAAACCAACCGACGGGUUCGGUGUAUA